CGGGAUGUAGCGCAGUCCGGCUAGCGCACCUGCUUUGGGAGCAGGGGGUCCCAGGUUCGAAUCCUGGUAUCCCGA
rnacentral:tRNA from 3 species